AGGCCAUGGUGUAGACAUCUCCUUUGAAUUGAAUCUUUCCCAAGUUUCAUAUAAUGACUCUCCUUUGUAUUGAUUAAAACUUGUAAUACCCAUACGAAGUUU